GGGCCCGCACAAGCGGUGGAGCAUGUGGUUUAAUUCGAUGAUACGCGAGGAACCUUACCAGGGCUUAAAUGCAGAACGACAGAGGUGGAAACACCUCCUUCUUCGGACUACUUACAAGGUGCUGCAUGGUUGUCGUCAGCUCGUGCCGUGAGGUGUCAGGUUAAGUCCCGCAACGAGCGCAACCCUCAUCUUUAGUUGCCAUCGGUUCGGCCGGGCACUCUAGAGAAACUGCCUGCGAUGAGCAGGAGGAAGGUGGGGAUGACGUCAAAUCAUCACGGCCCUUACGUCCUGGGCUACACACGUGCUACAAUGGUAGGUACAGAGAGCAGCCAAUGCGCGAGCAUGAGCAAAUCUAUUAAAACCGGUCUCAGUUCGGAUCGGAGUCUGCAACUCGACUCCGUGAAGCUGGAAUC
rnacentral:rRNA from 1 species